rnacentral:rRNA from 1 species
GAUGAACGCUGGCGGCGUGCUUAACACAUGCACUUCGAGCGAAGCACUUUGAAUGAAGUUUUCGGAUGGAUUUUAAAGUGACCGAGCGGCGGACGGGUGAGUAACGCGUGGGUAACCUGCCUCAUACAGGGGGAUAACAGUUAGAAAUGACUGCUAAUACCGCAUAAGCGCACAGUACCGCAUGGUACGGUGUGAAAAACUCCGGUGGUAUGGGAUGGACCCGCGUCUGAUUAGCUAGUUGGUGAGGUAACGGCCCACCAAGGCAACGAUCAGUAGCCGACCUGAGAGGGUGACCGGCCACAUUGGGACUGAGACACGGCCCAAACUCCUACGGGAGGCAGCAGUGGGGAAUAUUGCACAAUGGGGGAAACCCUGAUGCAGCGACGCCGCGUGAGUGAAGAAGUAUUUCGGUAUGUAAAGCUCUAUCAGCAGGGAAGAAAGUGACGGUACCUGACUAAGAAGCCCCGGCUAACUACGUGCCAGCAGCCGCGGUAAUACGUAGGGGGCAAGCGUUAUCCGGAUUUACUGGGUGUAAAGGGAGCGUAGACGGCUUAGCAAGUCUGAAGUGGAAGCCCGGGGCUCAACCCCGGAACGGCUUUGGAAACUGUUAAGCUAGAGUACCGGAGAGGUAAGCGGAAUUCCUAGUGUAGCGGUGAAAUGCGUAGAUAUUAGGAGGAACACCAGUGGCGAAGGCGGCUUACUGGACGGUAACUGACGUUGAGGCUCGAAAGCGUGGGGAGCAAACAGGAUUAGAUACCCUGGUAGUCCACGCGGUAAACGAUGAUUACUAGGUGUUGGAGGAUUGACCCCUUCAGUGCCGCAGUUAACACAAUAAGUAAUCCACCUGGGGAGUACGACCGCAAGGUUGAAACUCAAAGGAAUUGACGGGGGCCCGCACAAGCGGAGGAACAUGUGGUUUAAUUCGAUGAUACGCGAGGAACCUUACCCGGGCUUAAAUUGCAACAGAAUAUAUUGGAAACAGUAUAGCCGUAAGGCUGUUGUGAAGGUGCUGCAUGGUUGUCGUCAGCUCGUGCCGUGAGGUGUCGGCUUAAGUGCCAUAACGAGCGCAACCCUUAUCUUUAGUUACUAACAGGUCAUGCUGAGGACUCUAGAGAGACUGCCGUCGUAAGAUGUGAGGAAGGUGGGGAUGACGUCAAAUCAGCACGGCCCUUACGUCCGGGGCUACACACGUGUUACAAUGGGGGGUACAGAAGGCGGCUACCUGGUGACAGGAUGCUAAUCCCAAAAACCUCUCUCAGUUCGGAUCGAAGUCUGCAACCCGACUUCGUGAAGUUGGAUUCACUAGUAAUCGCGCAUCAGCCAUGGCGCGGUGAAUA